UUCUUUAUAUAUACAUAUAUAAAUAAGAAACAAAUGUAACUAUCAAAUGUAUGCCGUCGUCUCUGCGUCACGCCUUGUUAUGUUUCGUCUGUGCUCACCUGUUGCGGGCCAGAUUUGAGCUUUACACUUUCGGGGUGGCGGGGGAUGUACAUAUUGUUGUUGUUUUGUAUAGUUUUGGGGGCUGUAAGCCGGUGGUCCAGCCUGUAUUUAUUGUUCGCCGCUAUAUAUAUACACAUACAUACAUAUAAGCGGUGAGAUUCUAUAAAUAUAGUUUUAAUGUUUUAUUUAAAAAAUUAUAAAAAUAAAAUUGAUUAUUUAGGUAAAAUACCUGAGAGAUAUGUUGUUUAAAGAAGGGCCCAAUAAGUAGCCGACUU
rnacentral:lncRNA from 1 species